GCCCCGGUGGCCUAGUGGCUAUGGCACCUGACUUGUAAUCAGGAGAUCGCGAGUUCAACUCUCGCUCGGGGCU
rnacentral:tRNA from 1 species